rnacentral:tRNA from 2 species
CUACAUAGCUCAGUCGGUUAGAGCGCAGCAUUCAUAAUGCUGAUGUCCCAGGUUCAAGUCCCGGUGUAGC